rnacentral:rRNA from 1 species
AUUGAACGCUGGCGGCAUGCCUAAUACAUGCAAGUCGAGCGAGCGGCGGACGGGUGAGUAAUGUAUGGGGACUGCCCGCUAGAGGGGGAUAACUACUGGAAACGGUGGCUAAUACCGCAUACUGUCGGACAACCCAUAGGGGAUUAGCUAGUAGGUAAGGUAAUGGCGUACCUAGGCUACGAUCCCUAGCUGGUCUGAGAGGAUGAUCAGCCACACUGGGACUGAGACACGGCCCAGACUCCUACGGAGGCAGCAGUGGGGAAUAUUGCACAAUGGGCGAAAGCCUGAUGCAGACAUGCCGCGUGUAUGAAGAAGGCCCUAGGGUUGUAAAGUACUUUCAGUCGGGAGGCGUUACCGACAGAAGAAGCACCGGCUAACUCCGUGCCAGCCGCCGCGGUAAUUC